rnacentral:lncRNA from 1 species
UUGGAUUUUAUUAUUGUUAUUGUCUCACAGAACAAGACUAGCCAUAGGUAGGCAGUUGCAGGGUGGGGUCAGAAGCUCAUUGAUGUCAUUGAAGACACUGCUUUUCAUCUUUCUGUCCUGUCAUCUUCAAAGUGCCGCUAUAUUUCCCACCUAGGUCACAGGGUGGCUGCAGCAUAGGCAAGCUUUACAAUUGCAUGUGAAAAUACCUGGAAGAAAGAAAAAAAGAGAUAGGGAGGAAGACACCUUAUUUUCUCUCUUCAUGUAAGGGGAAAAAAUUGUUUCUCAGAAACCCCCCAGUAAACUUCCCUUUAUGUUUUAUCAGACACAACUGGAUUCAAAAGCCAUCUUGAACUGCAAGAGGGACUGGGAAAAGUGAAGCUAUCAUCUCUGUCCCUAUCUUGGAAUUGGGCACUUCCAACAGGCAAGAAGGAUGAGCAAAACACUUGUUGGGUUGGCUGUUGUAAAAAUAAGCCACUAUUUUCAUGCUUCUAAACACUUUAUGUGUAUUAGUCCACUAGAUCCUCAUAACAAACUCUUGGGGUAAGUAUGAUUCAUAAUCAUUUACAGAUAAGCAAACUGAACUGCAGAAGUGUUAACAUAGUGAGGAAGUGAAGGAGCCAAGAUUCCAACUCCACCAUCCGGCCGCAGAGGCUGCACAAGGCGCGGUUCUCAGCCAGCAGCGUCUGCCACAGCAGGCUGCCUCUAAAAUCAUAACACGUAAAAGUUCUAAGUGAUGUUUGUCUGUCUCAGAAGUGCAAAUGUGACAUUUGCCCCUGGCUGCAGUCAUGGUGUGGGUGAAAAGAGCAGAGGGGCAUCCAAGAGUGACAAGAAUUGCUUUCUGUCAUCAUCAAGGCUGCGUCAGCUCACGCUGUGGUCAGAUCCCUCUUGUACUGGUCCCAGAAGAGAAAGACUAUGACAUUAUUGCUCCUCAGGAAGAGGUGAAGCCCUCUCACCCCCAAUAUGCAUCAAUGUCAGAAUCAGGAAGCAGAUGAGAGGUACACAGCCCCCUGAGAAGCAGUGCUUGACACAGGCUACUGUAAUAGGUGUCCACCCAUCUGAAUCCUACUGCCCAGCACUCAGCUCAGAUGGAACAAGAGGCUGCCAGACGAGAGGCUGGGAGUUGCAGAAGCACCUGUUACAGCAGAAGUCAUUUGGCAAGCCAAACAAAAUGCGGAUUCAUCCAGGCCACCUGUAAAGGAAUUUAAUGCCUAACAACCUAUGCAAAGCUUCUAAUUGUCAUAAUUAAUUUGGCAUCUAUUCACUGCUGGCACCAGUUUGAUCGCUCCCAUUUCAUAGAUCUUUACAAUGUCACACUGUUGCUCCAGCUUAUUUAGAAAUCCUGGAAAGAGGGGAAGUGGAGAUUGCAGGGCAGCCUCAGCCCUCAGAAAAGUUUCUCUGCUUUCUCAUGUGUCCCAGCUGACAGGAUGCCAGGCCAGCAAGCUAAUGACCAACAGCUGAGCGCCAUGGCAAAGAACGAUAUAAAGACAAUCAUCUGGCUUCUGCUACUUUACAAACAAAAGGCAAGAGAUAGCAUACUGGAGAGAAAACAAAAUAAAAACUUUUAAUAAUGAUAGUGUCCCAUGUAUCAAUCUCCCAUUGUAUUUCCACAUUGCACAGUUAAUAUCAGAGGCCACCUCCACUGACUCAGACUUCCAUAAACAAGACACUUUGGACACAAAGGAGUUUCUCGUUCUGUUUCUGUAUCUGUCGCCUCUAAAAAAUACAGUGAUCCAAAGUUCAUCACUAAAAGAUGUGGGGAAAAAGUGGUGAUCAAAACUUUGCAAUACAAUAAUGGACCUUUUUAAAUCUAAAAAUGUGAAAAUCAAUGCAUCAAUUUUCAUACUUUCUCUUUUAAAUUUUCUUUCUUUUGAUC